rnacentral:rRNA from 1 species
AAUGAACGCUGGCGGCAGGCCUAACACAUGCAAGUCGAACGGAUCCUUCGGGAUUAGUGGCGGACGGGUGAGUAACGCGUGGGAACAUACCCUUUGGUACGGAAUAGCCUCGGGAAACUGGGAGUAAUACCGUAUGUGGUCGAGAGACGAAAGAUUUAUCGCCAAAGGAUUGGCCCGCGCUGGAUUAGGUAGUGGGUGGGGAAAUGGCCUACCAAGCCGACGAUGCAUAGCUGGUUUGAGAGGAUGAUCAGCCACGCUGGGACUGAGACAAGGGCCAGAGUCCUACGGGGGGUAGCGGUGAGAAGUCUUGGAAAAUGGGGGAAACCCUGAUCUAGACAUGCCGCGUGGGCGAGGAAGUCAUGAGGGUUGUAAAUAUCUUUCAGGUGGAAAAAUAAUGACUGUACCUCCAGAAGAAGCCCCGGCUAACUCCGUGCCAGCAGCCGCCGUAA